CACGUAGGGUGCGAGCGUUGUCCGGAAUUACUGGGCGUAAAGAGCUCGUAGGCGGUGUGUCGCGUCGGCCGUGAAAACCUGCAGCUUAACUGUGGGCGUGCGGUCGAUACGGGCAUCACUGGAGUUCGGCAGGGGAGACUGGAAUUCCUGGUGUAGCGGUGAAAUGCGCAGAUAUCAGGAGGAACACCGGUGGCGAAGGCGGGUCUCUGGGCCGAUACUGACGCUGAGGAGCGAAAGCGUGGGGAGCGAACAGG
rnacentral:rRNA from 1 species